rnacentral:rRNA from 1 species
UGAGGAAUAUUGGUCAAUGGGCGAGAGCCUGAACCAGCCAAGUCGCGUGAGGGAAGACGGUCCUAUGGAUUGUAAACCUCUUUUGUCCGGGGGAGGCAAAGAAGCGGUAC